AACGAACGCUGGCGGCAGGCCUAACACAUGCAAGUCGAGCGGACCCUUCGGGGUUAGCGGCGGACGGGUGAGUAACGCGUGGGAAUAUGCCCUUCUCUACGGAAUAGUUCUGGGAAACUGGGGGUAAUACCGUAUACGCCCUUUGGGGGAAAGAUUUAUCGGGGAAGGAUUAGCCCGCGUUGGAUUAGGUAGUUGGUAGGGUAAUGGCCUACCAAGCCGACGAUCCAUAGCUGGUUUGAGAGAAUGAUCAGCCACACUGGGACUGAGACACGGCCCAGACUCCUACGGGAAGCAGCAGUGGGGAAUCUUAGACAGUGGGGGCAACCCUGAUCGAGCCAUGCCGCGUGAGUGAUGAAGGCCUUAGGGUUGUAAAGCUCUUUCAGCUGGGAAGAUAAUGACGGUACCAGCAGAAGAAGCCCCGGCUAACUCCGUG
rnacentral:rRNA from 1 species